rnacentral:rRNA from 1 species
UACGUAGGGACCGAGCGUUGUCCGGAAUCAUUGGGCGUAAAGAGCGUGUAGGCGGCUUGCUAAGUCUUGCGUGAAAUCUCGGGGCUCAACCCCGAGCGGUCGUGGGAAACUGGCAGGCUAGAGUGCGGGAGAGGAGAAUGGAAUUCCUGGUGUAGCGGUGAAGUGCGCAGAUAUCAGGAAGAACACCCGUGGCGAAGGCGGUUCUCUGGAACGCAACUGACGCUGAGACGCGAAAGCGUGGGGAGCAAACAGG